CAGUUCGUUGUCACGCGGGACCAAAUUUUGAAUUUGAAAACAGUGGAUAAAUUUAUUGUUUACUACGAUGAUGAUGAUUAUGAUUGUUAUUUAAUGAAAUAAUUAAACUAUGAUUAAGGAUAGAUGUAAUUGAUAAAAUAACUUUUAUCUGAAGACUGAAUUUUAUUAUAAAGUAUGGAUAAAACUUGAUCAGUAAUAACAGUUGUAUUCGUAAAGAGUUCUCGGAGAGAAGUGAAGUUACAUCAGACGGCAGAGAGAUCUCGGACCUUCACUCUCCAACUUCUCCCCACUACUCUCAUGUUCACACUCAUGCUUAUAUGUAUAUAUUCUUAUAUAUCUAUGUUCUUUACUAAAUAUUAUACUUAUACAUUUAUACUUUCUACUAAUUCAAAUUUGGGAUAUAAGCUUACACAUAUACGUUCUUCACUUUAUCCAUUCUACAACUUCUUAUUACUUAUUCUAUUUAUAUGUACUUAGAUACAAUCUUCCAGUUAAAUAUUCUAGGCUAUCAGAGGUGUAUUCCUCCAUAAUUAUUCUAUAUUUAAUUAUUUAGUACGAUUGACAUUACUAUUUAUUGUGAAACAUUAUUAUAAUUAAUAUAAUGCUAUAUUUCUAUAUUUUCUUUAAUUUAUUUAUUAUACGCGUCACUCUUUAUUUAAUAUUAACAGUAAUAGUUAAAUUCUGGUGAGACAUGGUUUUCAUUAGUAAGUAACAUUUAUUAAUUAUAUAUUUUCUUUUCUUACUUGUUGAUAGAAUAUGUAUUUGUUUAUAACCAUAUUGACGGUUAACUUUAGAACAAGGACCUAUUCAUGAUUUUUAUGCGUAUGUUUUGUUUAGGUUUUAAGUAUCGGAUGACAGGAAACGUUCCAAGACCACUCAACCUGUAUUUAUAUUUCUCUGAAUACAAAAUAAAGGUUUAUCUAUCUAUUUAUUUAAACUUUCUUAUAAUAAAAAUAUAUAAUUUAAUGAGUAUGUGCCACGACGAUUUAUCAUUUAAAUUAUUGACUCAAUAUUGUUAAGACGCAAUAAGUGUUGUAAGAAAUUAAUAUAUAAUUUCAAAUGGAAUUCAAAUGCGCGCUUCUUAUAUAUCUCAAGUUUACUAAUUAAUUAACAGGUGGAGGCACCUGAGGCUGUUGAGGACAUAACACCUCCCCCGUUAAUGAAAAUUCGACAUAUCGUUCGUCGAAUUUUUCUCUCAUAUAUACACAUGUAUAUAACGAUAUAUAAUAAUAGCUGAAGCUAAUUCUGAAUGAAAUAUAAAUUCUGCAAGACAAUUACCUAUAUAAAUAAUACCAUUACCGGUUGUUAAAUCGUGGUCGCACAUUUACAUUACAAGUUACAAAAAUAAUCAUUUUUAUGAUUUAAAACUAACAGUAAAUAUUAACUCAGGUUACGCACAAUAUUUAUAUUACACAAGAAUACAUAUUUUUUAAGGGUGAGCAGCACUAACCGGAUGUUCGAAUUUAUUUUUCUAAUUACGUUUGGAAUAAUUACGUCACUUAAAUGAUGAAAACCUUCAAAAAAAAAGUUUAUCUUAAACAUUUUUCGGAAGCUAUAAAAUUUUUGUAAUAAGAAUUGAUCAAUAAAUUCAAAGAAAAGUAAAAUUUAAAAACUCGUUUAGUACGGCCCAGCCUUAUCAUUGAGGUCACGGUGUUUACAUUUUAGCAAGAGUUUAAUCCAGACUAUGAAGUAUUAUACGGAUCAACAAGGUAAUUUAAUUUUGUAGAGUCUUUUGACGAAUUUAAAGAAAAUUUGAUUAAAGUUAUACUCGGAAAUUCUUAUCACUUAUGUUAUAUUAUUCCAGAUAUAUUAAUUUCAACUUGUUUGUAUGUACGACUUGGUAUGUUAUGGGGUGAAUUAGGCGAGGACGUCCUCUCUGGCAUCUCAUGCAUGGGGGACUCAAACCCCCACACGACAUCCGAGCUCGGUACAACAACUGCUGGGUGGUCCAACCACCCAAGGGACAGGGCUAAUAAACCCCUCUGAAGAGGGCUGCCACUCAUCCAACAACUCGUCUCCCUGGGAAGAGAGUACUGUCCUCGUUCGAGUCUCGCUUUCCGCCUCAACGUCAGGUCGGCGAGUCGUCGGGAAGGCAUCUCUAUCCUUCAGAUAUGUGCACAACGUGCCAAGGGUGGCCAUAAACUUGCUGUUUACGCCACUAUAUUUGGAGGGGGUUGUCCAACAACCCCAGGGAGUCGAUGCCAUAAUUUUUUUUUCACACUCUCUUUUUUUUUUAUCUUAUUCUGUUUUUAUCCAUGCUAAUACUCAACCUACUAUUUCCUAUGAGUUUAUCCUCAAGAAGCGGUUUCCCAAGCUUUGUGUUCUAAAUCAAUAAUAUAUUAAGUAAUUUUAUGUCAAUGGGGUUUCGAGAGAGCGCAUCAACAUUAGCGUUCAAUCGACCUUCCCUAUAAUUGACUUCAUAUUCAUAUUUCCGUACUUCAGCAACCGAUGUAGGAGUUAAGAUAUAGGAAUUUUUAUUCUAUGAGCUCACACCAAUGAUUUAUGAUCUGUGACUUUCAGGAGUUCAGGGGCAGAGUAGUAGGAAGGUAUUUUCUAAUGUCUUCUGGCUGAGAAUCGCACCGAGGGCAUAAAAAGAAGUGUUUGUUGUCGUGACGAAAAGUUUUGAAAGUGGGGGAACUGGAGAAUAAAUUAAUAUCAACUUAUAAUUAAUAUCAGAAUCUAUCGUGAAUUAAAAUUUCUCCAAAUUAAGUAGUUCAUCACUAUUAAUAGUUAUACACGGUGAGGUAAUAUGCUUGUUGUUGUGAGUUUUUAUGGAAGCGUCAUUUUGAAUAAGUUUUGUUUCAUUUGGUCUUCUGUGUGGGCUGUAUUGUCAGUUUGUUGGUCGUUGUAUGCAUUGAAAUUUUGGUUUGAUGUUGUGUUAUUUUCUCUAACCCAAGUAAACCUAUUUUUGCAGAUUUGUGCGAAAUGACCAGGCUUAGAACAUAUUGAACAAAUUACGUUCAUGGAGUUAUUACAGUCUUUUUGUAAUGUCCUCGUCCUCCACAAGAAAAACAAAUAAUCGAAUUACGGUCAAGUCGUCUUAUAUUGUCAUUGUUAUGUGUCUGAGUUACCCGUACAGUAGCCUGGUUAUUAGUUGAUGAUUCCUGUGGCAGUCUGUUAUUGUUAUGAUUUCUUCUAUCUCCAUAAUGAUUGUUCGCAAAUUUGAUAUGAUUUUGGGAACUACUAAUGGAAUAUUGGCUGGAGUAAGGAUUAUUACUACAGUGGGAAUGUAUUUUAAAAAGUGAAUUUUUUUGUUCCAAUUCUUUUUCUAAUUCUACGGCAAGAUCUACUGCUCGCGACAGAGUAAGAGGUUUUUGACUAGCAGCCCACAAUCCUAACUCUCCCCUAAGACCCCGUACGAAGCUAUCUCGAGCUCCUUCUUGGGUACUAGCUAAUAACCCGGUUCGUAUUUCACCCGAAUGCUUAUCCAUAAUUACUUCUGACGUUCCUUGAACGAUUUCGUUGAUUCUAGUAACGUAAUCUACGAUGGUUUCACCAUCCUUUUAAUAAAUAUUCGAAAGUAACGACUGCUAUUGAGAUAGAGUUCUACUCGGCACUAAAGCUCUUUUAAGAUUUCCCAAAAUCCCUUCAAAUGCUAAUCCCGAUUGAUUUGAAAUAUAUUUGCUGGCUUUACCCAAUAUACGAGAUUUUAUCAACUGAGUUAAAUACAAUUUACCAGAUGGAUGUAUUAGAUUUAAGGUUUGAUUACAAAGUUCAAUAAAAUUAUUAACUGGCAUAUUUUCUCCAUUGAAUACGGGUAUAAGGUUUAUAGCGUCUUUGAUACUCAAAAAUUGGGAAUUACUUGUAUGAACUAGAUUAUUGGUAGCAUAAUUGUGCUCAUUAUUUCCGUAGCCCGCGAGUACCGGUUCAAUUGGUACGCGAUUCGAAUUAUGAACUGGAGUAGCUGGAAUGCUAGGGGUUAUAGAAGGAGAGAUGGUGGAAAAAUUGUCAUUAUUAGUGUUCUGAAUGUCAAUAGAACUAAUCACCACUUCAGUGCUCGCGUCCGAAAUGUGUUCGUCUGUAGUCACUAAAUUAGACAUUUUCGCCUCAAAUCAUGUUAAUGCUUCUAUAGUCUUGAUUCUAUUUGAUUACUAUAUUUAAUAUAUUAAGGAAAUACUAUAUCAAAUUACAGUUGAACUUUUAAUUAUAAUUAUUAAGAUUAUGGAAUUGUAAAUAAUACAAAAUAUUAUAAUGUGUACUUAUUUCGACUGAAACUUAUGUCUGAUAGCAAUUUAAAAGUGUUAAAUAUCAAAUAAUCGUCAAAUUUCAUA